GCCAAUGAUGUUACAAUCCAACGUGUUUGAGGCGUAGCGGAAGCGAGAACCUGCAUUUGUGCAGGUAGAGCCUACUCGUGGAAACUACGAUCCCUUGACAGAAACGAUGUAGCUGAGGC